rnacentral:rRNA from 1 species
GGAAUAUUGGUCAAUGGGCGAGAGCCUGAACCAGCCAAGUAGCGUGAAGGAAGACUGCCCUAUGGGUUGUAAACUUCUUUUAUGAGGGAAUAAAGUGUGGCACGUGUGCCAUUUUGUAUGUACCUCAUGAAUAAGCAUCGGCUAAUUCCGUGCCAGCAGCCGCGGUAAUACGGAAGAUGCGAGCGUUAUCCGGAUUUAUUGGGUUUAAAGGGAGCGUAGGCGGAUGAUUAAGUCUGCGGUAAAAUGUCAGUGCUCAACGCUGGCCUGCCGUGGAAACUGGUUGUCUUGAAUGUGCACAAGGAAGGUGGAAUUCGUGGUGUAGCGGUGAAAUGCUUAGAUAUCACGAAGAACUCCGAUUGCGAAGGCAUCCUUCUGGGGCAUGAUUGACGCUGAGGCUCGAAAGCGCGGGUAUCAAACA